GAUGAAGAACGCAGCGAAAUGCGAUAAGUAGUGUGAAUUGCAGAAUUCAGUGAAUCAUCGAAUCUUUGAACGCACAUUGCGCCCCUUGGUAUUCCAUGGGGCAUGCCUGUUCGAGCGUCAUUUGUACCUUCAAGCUCUGCUUGGUGUUGGGCGUCUGUCCCGCUUCGCGCGCGGACUCGCCCCAAAGGUAUUGGCAGCGGUCGUGCCAGCUUCUCGCGCAGCACAUUGCGCUUCUCGAGGCACCGGUGGGCCCGCGUCCAUCAAGCUCACCCCCCCAGUUUGACCUCGGAUCAGGUAGGGAUACCCGCUGAACUUAAGCAUAUCAAUAAGCGGAGGA
rnacentral:misc_RNA from 1 species